rnacentral:rRNA from 1 species
UCCUCUGACGUUAGCGGCGGACGGGUGAGUAACACGUGGAUAACCUACCUAUAAGACUGGGAUAACUUCGGGAAACCGGAGCUAAUACCGGAUAAUAUAUUGAACCGCAUGGUUCAAUAGUGAAAGACGGUUUUGCUGUCACUUAUAGAUGGAUCCGCGCCGCAUUAGCUAGUUGGUAAGGUAACGGCUUACCAAGGCAACGAUGCGUAGCCGACCUGAGAGGGUGAUCGGCCACACUGGAACUGAGACACGGUCCAGACUCCUACGGGAGGCAGCAGUAGGGAAUCUUCCGCAAUGGGCGAAAGCCUGACGGAGCAACGCCGCGUGAGUGAUGAAGGUCUUCGGAUCGUAAAACUCUGUUAUUAGGGAAGAACAAAUGUGUAAGUAACUAUGCACGUCUUGACGGUACCUAAUCAGAAAGCCACGGCUAACUACGUGCCAGCAGCCGCGGUAAUACGUAGGUGGCAAGCGUUAUCCGGAAUUAUUGGGCGUAAAGCGCGCGUAGGCGGUUUUUUAAGUCUGAUGUGAAAGCCCACGGCUCAACCGUGGAGGGUCAUUGGAAACUGGAAAACUUGAGUGCAGAAGAGGAAAGUGGAAUUCCAUGUGUAGCGGUGAAAUGCGCAGAGAUAUGGAGGAACACCAGUGGCGAAGGCGACUUUCUGGUCUGUAACUGACGCUGAUGUGCGAAAGCGUGGGGAUCAAACAGGAUUAGAUACCCUGGUAGUCCACGCCGUAAACGAUGAGUGCUAAGUGUUAGGGGGUUUCCGCCCCUUAGUGCUGCAGCUAACGC